rnacentral:rRNA from 1 species
UACGAAGGGGGCUAGCGUUGCUCGGAAUCACUGGGCGUGAAGGGUGCGUAGGCGGGUCUUUAAGUCAGGGGUGAAAUCCUGGAGCUCAACUCCAGAACUGCCUUUGAUACUGAAGAUCUUGAGUCCGGGAGAGGUGAGUGGAACUGCGAGUGUAGAGGUGAAAUUCGUAGAUAUUCGCAAGAACACCAGUGGCGAAGGCGGCUCACUGGCCCGGUACUGACGCUGAGGCACGAAAGCGUGGGGAGCAAACAGG